UAGGGAAUCUUCGGCAAUGGGGGGAACCCUGUCCGAGCAACGCCGCGUGAGUGAAGAAGGUUUUCGGAUCGUAAAGCUCUGUUGUUAAGGAAGAACGAGUGUGAGAAUGGAAAGUUCAUGCCGUGACGGUACUUAACCAGAAAGGGACGGCUAACUACGUGCCAGCAGCCGCGGUAAUACGUAGGUCCCGAGCGUUGUCCGGAUUUAUUGGGCGUAAAGCGAGCGCAGGCGGUCAAUUAAGUCUGAUGUGAAAGCCCCCGGCUCAACCGGGGAGGGUCAUUGGAAACUGGUUGACUUGAGUGCAGAAGAGGAGAGUGGAAUUCCAUGUGUAGCGGUGAAAUGCGUAGAUAUAUGGAGGAACACCAGUGGCGAAGGCGACUCUCUGGUCUGUAACUGACGCUGAGGUUCGAAAGCGUGGGUAGCAAACAGG
rnacentral:rRNA from 1 species